CCUGUCGGAGGCUGGGUGUCGCCUGACCGGAUGGUGACAGAAGUUUUCAGUCAAUGUGGCUACUGUUACCAUACAACUAUCUUGUUAUUCAUCCUGCUUCUUAUUCUAUCGCAGCAGGAACACGUCAGUCUUUGCCAGCUUCUUUCUUUUACCACAAAAACUCAAGGAUAUUUGACAAACCGCUGUGCCAUCUGGAACUUUACUGGAGGCCUUUUACUUGACCGUGCGGAGAGCCACCGAGAGCCCACUGGGCUGACCGGGGUGCCACCAUGGGGAACCGGGGGAUGGAAGACCUGAUUCCACUCAUCAACAAGCUCCAGGACGCCUUCAGCUCCAUCGGCCAGAGCUGCAACUUGGAGCUACCCCAGAUAGCGGUCGUCGGCGGCCAGAGCGCAGGGAAAAGCUCCGUUCUUGAGAAUUUCGUCGGGAGAGACUUUUUGCCUCGAGGCUCUGGUAUUGUCACCCGUCGUCCUCUGAUACUGCAGCUAGUUCACAAUAAAGCAGAGUAUGCAGAGUUCCUACACUGCAAGGGGCGCAAAUUUGUGGAUUUUGAUGAAGUCCGUCAGGAGAUUGAAGCAGAGACUGAUCGACUCACCGGAUCCAACAAGGGCAUUUCGCCCAUCCCCAUCAACCUCCGAGUCUACUCCCCUCACGUGUUAAAUCUGACCCUGAUCGACCUGCCGGGGAUGACAAAGGUGGCUGUCGGAGACCAGCCUCUCGACAUCGAACACCAGAUCAGAGACAUGCUGCUACAGUUCAUUACCAAGGAAAGCUGCCUGAUCCUGGCUGUCACUCCGGCCAACACUGACCUGGCCAACUCUGAUGCUCUCAAGAUUGCAAAGGAGGUGGAUCCCCAGGGUCUGCGGACUAUUGGUGUGAUCACCAAGCUGGACUUGAUGGAUGAAGGGACGGAUGCUCGAGACAUCCUUGAAAACAAACUCCUUCCUCUCCGCAGGGGUUACAUCGGCGUGGUAAACCGCAGUCAGAAGGACAUUGAUGGCAAGAAAGAUAUCCGUGCUGCUUUGGCUGCUGAGCGCAAGUUCUUCUUGUCCCAUCCUGCAUACAGACACAUUGCAGAGCGCAUGGGCACACCACACCUACAGAAGACACUUAAUCAGCAACUUACCAACCACAUCCGUGACACUCUGCCAGGGUUACGCAGCAAGCUCCAAAGCCAGCUACUUUCCCUAGAGAAAGAGGUGGAAGAAUAUAAAAACUUCCGCCCUGAUGAUCCUGCACGCAAAACAAAGGCCUUGCUUCAGAUGGUGCAGCAGUUUGGUGUUGAUUUUGAAAAGUGCAUCGAAGGCUCAGGUGAUCAGGUGGACACCUCCAACUUAUCUGGAGGAGCGAAGAUUAACCGCAUCUUUCAUGAGCGCUUUCCCUUUGAGCUAGUGAAGAUGGAGUUUGAUGAGAAGGAGCUGAGGAAGGAAAUCAGUUACGCCAUCAAAAACAUCCAUGGAGUCAGGACAGGCCUGUUCACUCCAGACAUGGCGUUUGAGGCUAUAGUGAAAAAGCAGAUCAUUAAGCUGAAAGACCCCUGUCUGAAAUGUGUCGACCUCGUCGUCACCGAGCUUGUCGCCCUGAUCAGGAAGUGCACUGAAAAGUUGGGAUCGUAUCCUCGUCUGAGAGAAGAGACAGAGCGAAUCGUCACCACUUACAUCAGAGAGAGAGACAGUAAGACUAAAGACCAGGUGCUCCUGUUGAUUGACAUCGAACUCUCCUACAUCAACACUAAUCACGAGGACUUUAUUGGAUUUGCCAAUGCCCAGCAGAGGACAGCUGCUAAUGCUACCAAGAAGAGAGUCAUGCCCAACCAGUCUGGCAGAGAGAGGAAUACAGGGAAGGUUAUCCGCCGAGGCUGGCUGACAAUCAACAUUAGCAUCAUGAAGGGAGGCUCCAAGGACUACUGGUUUGUCCUCACUGCAGAGUCGCUUUCCUGGUACAAAGAUGAGGAGGAGAAAGAGAAGAAGUACAUGCUCCCUCUGGACAACCUGAAGCUGAGAGAUGUGGAAAAGGGAUUCAUGUCCAGCAAACACGUCUUUGCCAUCUUCAACACUGAGCAGAGAAACGUGUAUAAAGACCUGCGGCAGAUCGAGCUGGCGUGUGACACUCAGGAGGACGUUGACAGCUGGAAAGCCUCGUUCCUCAGAGCUGGUGUUUACCCAGAGAAAGACCAGCCUGAAAAUGAGGAUGCCAUGAAUCCAGGCGACACCGUGUCUAUGGACCCACAGUUGGAGCGUCAAGUGGAGACCAUCCGCAACUUGGUGGAUUCCUACAUCAGCAUCGUCAACAAGUCUAUCAGAGACCUCAUGCCUAAGACCAUCAUGCACCUCAUGAUCAACAGUGCAAAGGAUUUUAUCCACUCGGAGCUGCUGGCCUACCUGUACUCAGCUGGGGACCAAAGCAGCCUGAUGGAGGAGUCUGCUGAGCAGGCCCAGAGGAGAGACGAGAUGCUGAGGAUGUACCAUGCUCUGAAGGAAUCUCUGGUCAUUAUUGGUGACAUCACCACCACCACUAUCUCCACCCCUGUGCCUCCGCCGGUAGAUGACACCUGGAUGGUCAAAGACUCUGGUCCUCCUGCAGGUGCCCGCCCUGGCUCGGCAACAGCGCCCCCUCCAAGCCGCCCCCCUGCAGUCAGGGGACCCACACCCGGGCCUCCCCCUCCCCUUAACCCCUCACCAGCAUUCGGAGCUCCACCAGUGCCUACUCGACCCGGACCGCCACCGGCGCAGACGGGUUUCGAUCCAAACGUUCCUGUAAUCCCCUCCAGGCCGGCUCGUGUGCCUCCUGCGCUGCCGCCCGGCAUCCCAAGCAGAAGACCCCCGGCGGCUCCCCACAGACCCACCGUUGUACGUCCUUCAGAACCUUCCCUGCUUGACUAGAAGCAUACACAGACACAUACUUGUACCUACAAACACACUUUGUUCAGUUUACACUUUUAUAUUUCCAGUGAGUUAUCCUUGCAUCUCAGAGACAUGAUGUUUGUCAUUUUGAGUGUUGGUGUAGUUCUUUAACAACAUGCUCAGUGACAUCGUGUAAAGUGAUACUGUAAGUCUAAUGAGUCUAUGAACCAUCACAUUUUUGCUUUUGUCUUUUAUACUAAUGUUCAGUUGAUUCUUGUGGUAAGAAACCUCUUUUUUCAAAAGCAAUGAUUAAGACAUUUCCAUCUGAUAUCUAAAAUCGUAUACACUAAGCAACUCAAUAGCUGAGCAGCCCUGUUGAUCACUUGUCUGCUUUCAUGGCAGAUCUAAAAAGGAUAUUUUUGAAAGUCGUCCUUCAAUCAUUUUUGUGCCUUUAUAUUUUUGGUGAAUGACUGUUAUAACCCGUUUCAGCAUCAUACAUAUGCUAUAGUUAAGAUUUAUUAUAUCCUUAUCAUUUAUCUCCCUCCAGUGCUCAACUUUUGGUCUAGUUUGAAUCCUUGAGCUCCGCUGUGUAUCAUCAUUAUCACCUCGAAAGCCAUAAAUAAUGUCAUAAGAGGGAAAGGGCCUGUCUUUCAAAUUGUUGAUUAAAGGAUGGCCUUAAUACAGUGGGGGUGUGCUCUUCUUUCUGUUCCUUUAUGUCUUAGUUGCCAUGCAAAGCCAUACCUGUCCUGGGCCUUCCUCACCUCUUCAUGCAUGCUCUUACUUUCCUGUGCACAGAUAGUGCAAUAGAUAGCAUGCAAGAGCACUCCUGUAGGCUUCACAAAGAAGGUCAGCUCAGAAGACCUGCACACGCCUCCUCUCGCAGCAACUACAGGUGAUGGAAGCUGACUGGCGGCUCAGAAUGCCUUGUGGAAGUUGUGGUAACCACAGAAUAAUCUAAAUAACGCGUAUGGAUGUGCAAUUAAAACCAGAAUUAUUCAUACCCUUCCAAAUUGUGGGAAUUUUUGCUUGUUGAAUGAGUGCCUUGAAGGUGACUGCUGUGUAAAAUCUUUCUCUUAGAGAUUUGAGUUCAUUUAGCCAUUUACUAUAUGCUUGAAAAUGCCUAAUUCAGCCCAAAAAUACCAAACAUUUGCUUAAACACGCAUACAUUCAUUACUACUAAAAGGCCAUAUUCAACCACGUAACAGCAUGAGUUAUUAAUAUAUUUUUGAAAUACCGUGAUGGUGUAGCCACGAAAUUCAAAGUGAGGAGGGAUUAGAUUACUGGAGCUAGUUGAAUUGGUUGUACUGUAUAUAUGCACGAUUUCAAGUCUAUGUCAAAUAUAAGUUUCUUAUUUGAGACACUUAAA